rnacentral:lncRNA from 1 species
AGCUCAGCCACCUGCUUUCUGAGGAGCACUGAGCAAGAUGGCCACCUCCUGGUGGUAAGUCUCGCUCCUGGAGUUCCCAUCUUGACCCUACAGCGGGACAUUUUGCCGCCACCUCUUUGUGUGUUGGGAAGAUGACGUCCUUUCUGCUCGUCCUGCUUCUCUGAUUGAUCUGUGUCUCUGGAGAUCCCUUUGCUCAGCCAUCAGAUCAAGCAGGCAUCCAUGGUUCAGAAUGGUGAUGACCUGGGCAAGAGCUCACCAGUAAGGAGCAAAGGGGCCCGCCUGCCACUCUUAAGCAGAGCGCCUGCUGAAUCAGGAUUUCCAAGGCUCCGGCUGAGUGCCUGGCUGGGGGCUGUGUGUGCAGAUGCCACAAGAUGGACAAGACUGAGGACGCAGAUUUCCUACAACAGCAGACUUCUGAUGCCCAGGCCUCAGUUCUGAACUCUGGAGGCUACAACCUGGCCUGCUUAUAGACGGUGGACCAAAUGAAGGUGAAGAGGAGACGGAUGAGGAAACUGAAGCAACUGUUCAAGAAGAGGAUAUAAAAAGGGACAGGCAUUGAUGAUGAUAUCAGAGCUUCUUCCUGGGGAAUCUCAGCCUCACAUGAUGGAGUAUGACUAAAGGAAAAAAAUAAGGCUCUUCACAUACUUUCUUGGCAGUCUGUGAGGGUCAGGGUUGAUUUUGUGUCCCUAAAAUGUCACAUGAAGUUCAUAGGCACUUCCAAAGGGGCAGUCUAGCAAGUUAAAGAGUAGAUGUGGGGCUGUGUGGAGUCCAUUGUUUGGGUAAUCUUUUUCAAACAGUAGGAAUAUACCAGCUUGUAAAGAUUUGCCCACUUAGCUUCAAGUCUCUCUGAACACAUUUCCCCCCGCUCUAUGAAUAGAUGAAGACAUACAAAUGGAACUCUUGAUAUUCUUAAGUGAAAAACAUGAUAUGGAAUAGCAGAUAAAUACAAACAAUUUCUUAUCCAGCAAAGAGCUCCAGAAAUAUUUUGACUUCAUUUAAAACAGUUAUAUAAAUAUUUGCUGGUGGAAUUUUUUUCUAAACCAAAUACCCUGAAGGAUUUUAGUUGUCUAUCUACAACUUUUUGCUUGUGGAAAAUGUUGACUUCCUGGUUACUUUGACUUGUGUUCACCUGAAAUUUUGCUUUUGCAGUAGUUUUUCUUAUGAUUUAGUGGCAUUGCCUGUCCAGUGACAGGAAGUGGUGUUCUUAUUGGGACUAAUAUGUGUUAUGGCCCUAGAACCAGCAGAAGCCACUCCUGCUUUUUUCCACACUCUUCUUUCUAUAGAAGAGAAGGGAAUGAGGAUCCCACAUGGCAUUCACUGCCUUGAGCAUACUGAGAUUUCUUUGCAAAAGGAGAAACAGCACCAGCAACUAAGCAUUUUAUCCCAUUUUAUUUUACUUCUUCUAUGAUUCUUUGCCACUUAGCAAUGCCAAUUAAUUGAUUUGGGACUGGAAAUACAUUUCUUAUACAAUCUUCAAGUUUUCUUUCAUAAGAACAUAACUUUCAUCUGAUAUUGUUCCCCACUUCUCUCUUUUCAAAUGUAAUAUUUGGGCCAGUCCUUGAAAGUGAACUGAGUUGAGUUCUCAUGGCCCAUAAAAGAACAUAUUCAAAAUGUAUCAUUUUCUUUAUGUCACAGAUAAAAGAUCAUUAAUUGUAUAUAAAAUUUCCAUAUAAUUUUUAAAAUUUUUAUUUUGCAAUAAUUUAUUUUAGAUUUACAUUAAAGUUGCAAGGAAGGUACAAAGA